GAUGUGCUGAUCUGGGAAGGCGUGGAUGGGGCUAGUGCUGGGCAAAACGUCACCUGCUGAGGACGAAUGCCGAGUCCUGCCUGGGGCUGCAGGGCAGCCUGGAGAGAGAGAAAGCAAGUCUGCGCAGAAGCCCUACGGGAUCGUCUCAUUGCAUGAUUUUCUUUACUUUUACGGUUUCCAAGAGGUGACUGGUACCGAUUCUGGUGCUAUUGGUUUCAGCCACGGCUGGAGUGCUCAAAUUACACCGGCAGUGCCAGGAAGACAGGUGGCAGAGGGGGCAGCUGGCUUUGUUUGGUCUCUCCUAGGUGACAAGGUCACUGGUGAAUCUCCCAUAGUUGGACCAAGAGCAUCGGCCAGCUUCCUGACCCAGGGAGAGGGCCACACUCCUAGAACACCAAGAUCAGAAGGAAAAAGAAAAAGGAAAAGGAAAAAGUAG
rnacentral:lncRNA from 12 species